GAUGAACGCUGGCGGCGUGCUUAACACAUGCAAGUCGAACGAUGAUGCCCAGCUUGCUGGGUGGAUUAGUGGCGAACGGGUGAGUGACACGUGAGUAACCUGCCCUUGACUCUGGGAUAAGCCUGGGAAACUGGGUCUAAUACCGGAUACGACCAUCUGGCGCAUGUCAUGGUGGUGGAAAGCUUUUGUGGUUUUGGAUGGACUCGCGGCCUAUCAGCUUGUUGGUGGGGUAAUGGCCUACCAAGGCGACGACGGGUAGCCGGCCUGAGAGGGUGACCGGCCACACUGGGACUGAGACACGGCCCAGACUCCUACGGGAGGCAGCAGUGGGGAAUAUUGCACAAUGGGCGCAAGCCUGAUGCAGCGACGCCGCGUGAGGGAUGACGGCCUUCGGGUUGUAAACCUCUUUCAGUAGGGAAGAAGCGAAAGUGACGGUACCUGCAGAAGAAGCGCCGGCUAACUACGUG
rnacentral:rRNA from 1 species